rnacentral:tRNA from 1 species
GCCGGCGUGGCGGAAUUGGCAGACGCACAGGACUUAAAAUCCUGCGAGGUUAAACUCAUACCGGUUCAAGUCCGGUCGCCGGCA